rnacentral:rRNA from 1 species
GUGCACAUGCGCCCAUGGUGAAUCAGUGAUACUAACCGCCCAGAAGCCUCAUGGCCCUUUCUUUGAUUGGGGUGUGGGUGUGGAUGCGUGGGACCUGAUCUGGUAGUAGCCAAGCGAUGGGGUGACACAGAUUGGUAGUCGAGCCACUUAUUGGAUUGUGGUGUAAGCGUGCAGCCUGAGGGAUAGGUAAAUCCGUUCCUCGUUAUGGGUGAGGCGUGAUGCGUACCCUUUUUUGGGGAUGUCGAUGAUCCUGUGCUGUCGAGAAAAGCCUCUAGCGAUGUGUGUGUGCGGCCCGUACCCCAAACCGACACAGGUGGUCAGGUAGAAAAUACUAAGGCGAUCGGGUGAACUGUGGUUAAGGAACUCGGCAAAAUGCCCCCGUAACUUCGGGAGAAGGGGGGCCAUGAUGGGUCACCGGUCCUAGCGGCUGGUUGGCGUGUUGUGGCCGCAGAGAAUAGAGGGAAGCGACUGUUUACUAAAAACACAGGUCCGUGCGAAGACGAUAAGUCGAUGUAUACGGACUGACGCCUGCCCGGUGCUGGAAGGUUAAGAGGACCUGUUAGACCCUUUUGGGGGUCGAAGCGGAGAAUUUAAGCCCCAGUAAACGGCGGUGGUAACUAUAACCAUCCUAAGGUAGCGAAAUUCCUUGUCGGGUAAGUUCCGACCUGCACGAAUGGCGUAACGACUUCCCUGCUGUCUCAACCACAGGCCCGGCGAAAUUGCAGUACGAGUAAAGAUGCUCGUUACGCGCGGCAGGACGAAAAGACCCCGGGACCUUCACUAUAGCUUGGUAUUGAUGCUCGGUUCGGUUUGUGUAGGAUAGGUGGGAGACUGUGAUCAUGUGACGCUAGUUGUGUGUGAGUCGUUGUUGAAAUACCACUCUGAUCGAAUUGGGUAUCUGUUAACCUCGGCCCGUGAUCCGGGCCAGGGACAGUGCCUGGUGGGUAGUUUAACUGGGGCGGUUGCCUCCCAAAGAGUAACGGAGGCGCCCAAAGGUUCCCUCAGCCUGGUUGGCAAUCAGGUGUUGAGUGUAAGUGCACAAGGGAGCUUGACUGUGAGACUGACAGGUCGAGCAGGUACGAAAGUAGGGACUAGUGAUCCGGCACCGGCUUGUGGAAGCGGUGUCGCUCAACGGAUAAAAGGUACCCCGGGGAUAACAGGCUGAUCUUCCCCAAGAGUCCAUAUCGACGGGAUGGUUUGGCACCUCGAUGUCGGCUCGUCGCAUCCUGGGGCUGGAGUAGGUCCCAAGGGUUGGGCUGUUCGCCCAUUAAAGCGGCACGCGAGCUGGGUUUAGAACGUCGUGAGACAGUUCGGUCUCUAUCCGCCGUGCGCGUUGAAACUUGAGAAAGGCUGUCCCUAGUACGAGAGGACCGGGACGGACGUACCUCUAGUGUGCCAGUUGUCACGCCCGUGGCAUGGCUGGUUGGCUACGUACGGAAGGGAUAACCGCUGAAAGCAUCUAAGCGGGAAGCCCG